UACUCUUGAGAGAUGAACUAAGGAUUUUGAGCAAGAUACUGGCUUUAACAGGCACAUACACAGGAGGGGGUCUUUCACCACCAGGCGAGAGAGGCGUCCUGUCAGGUGCCCUUCUGAUCGGGGCAUGUCAUCGAUAAUACCCCCGUCCCAGGUGGAGAGAAGCGAAUGUGGGCCUCCAUCCCGCUCUCUGCAAACACACCGUGACUGUGGACGUUCCCUGUCCAACCAGAGAUGAAAUUUAUCACAAUUUCAGUCACAGUCACACUACAGAGGACUUUGCAGAGAGAGAAAGAUGAGCUCCUGCUGGCUCCAGGCUCAGGUGCUGAAAGAGCUUGUUAAGCGCAAUCCUGUGAACAAGUUAAUAUCUCUCCUACCUAGUCUUGGGCCCCAGGAGCAGCUGUCUGAAGUAUGGGCUGACAGCACACAGCACAGCAGCGUGCGCCCACCCCAGCUCUUUUCCAGAGUCUCCUGCAUAGAAAGCCACAUCGGCGAACUGCACGCCACGCUCCAGCAACCACUGCAUGUCCUGGGAGAAGCUGGACUCUUCUACUCGGAUGGGGGGAAGACGGGCUGAGAGGGAGGAAGAAGGGUCAUGUAGGGUGAGAGAGAGGAAGAGGAGGAUAAGAGGAAUGAGCUGUGAGGAUGAUUAUCUUUCUGUAUGUUUAAAAAAAUUUAACUUUUCAUUUUCAUUUAAUCAAACUUGUUUGUAGCUACUCCUGAUUUUCCCAUGCCUUGAGUCAGGAGGUUUGACAACUCAUGGUAAGAAUGUUGACAGAGUAAGACAAUCUAGAGAGAUCCUUUAGCGAGGGAUGGUGAAAACAAACAUCACGUUGUGCCCUGCCCAAUGGCUCAAGUUCAUAAAAGAUAUUUCUGGACAUGUCUUUGCACUGAUGGCAGACCUGUCAGGAUGAAAACCAGUGUCGCUGCCCUGAUUUUUUUGCCCUUUAAAGUCAUUUAGGAUAUGUAA